rnacentral:lncRNA from 1 species
ACUCCUUUAAUCUUUUUUACAACUCCAUGUUCUUAACAAUAACAGCCCUAAUGGUAACUUUAAUCUCUGUGCUUUAGUAGAAAACAACUGCUUCUUUUAAGAAGAACCCUUUUCUGCUAUCUCUUCAUAUACCUCCCUCACUCCUCUCCAAACAUUAAUUAACUUCUUUCUCUGCUUCCCCUUUCUUCUCUAUUCUUUAACUGGCCAUCAUAUAAAAGUGAAGGACAUUUAAAUUAUUCGUGAUAUUUAUUUUGACUUGUUCUAAAUUUUAAAAAUCCAGUGAGUUUGUCCUUGUGUAGGUUUUAUGGGGCACUUAUAUCUGGAAUCUGAAAAAGUCGAAUUCAUAAAAUUACAGAGUAGAAUGAUGGUUGCCAGGGGCUGGGGGUGGGGAAAAUGGGGAUAUGUUGGUUAAAGGUAUAAACUAAAUGUUAUAUAAGAUGAAUAAGUUCUAGAGAGCAAAUACACAGCAUGGCAAUUAUAGUUAAUGAUACUGUAUUAUAUACUUAAGGUUGCUAAGAGAGUAGAUCUUAAAUGUUCUCAUCACAUAAAAGAAAUGGUAGUUAUAUGAGGUGAUAGAUGUAUUAAUUAACCUUAUUGUGGCAAUCAUUUUGUAAUAUGUAUGUGUAUCAAAUCAUCACAUCGCACACCUUAAACUUAUACAACAUUAAACGUCAAUUAUAUCUCAAUAAAACUGGAAGAAAAAAAUAAGUGAUUUGCUCUGGAGAUACUGUAGCAACCUGAAAUUGUUUGCAGAGGAGCUGUUUAUAGGAAUGUCAGCGACACAAACAUCAGAAUAAGAAAGUGUUCUGGACAUGUUGCCUGUCAUACAUAAUCUGCAGUUUGAAGAUAAAUGCUGUCAAAAUAGAAUCAGGUUCAUUCUUUCAAGUGUUGCCCUUUAUAUCCAAAUAUGGAGCACCUCAAAUGGCUCAUUUACCUUAAAAAAGGCUCUUGUAAACAUCUAACUCAUUCUCAGUAUCUAAUAUCUACCUGCUCAAUUAAAUAGCAGCUAUCCUGAGUGCACUGAAACUACUAAUAUAUUUUUAAAGAUAAAGUGUCAGAGUUGCAGAUGACCCUGCCAGCUUGCAUUAUAAUUCUUACUUGCCUGACUUCUUAGGGCUGGUUUUAUAUAUUCCAGACUCAAAUCUUCAAAUAGGUAGAUAUAUAGAUAUUGACAUAUGUCUUCUGGUAACUUUUUGAGUAUGUUCACAAAGUACUAGAGGCAGACAGGUAAUUAGACAAACUUUUUAAAUUCAAGAAUGAUUAGAAACAGGCUAGAAAUAAAUGAGAACAGAUACCUCUCUACCCUGCUCUAUUCCCAGGGGGAAAAAAAGCUAUUCCCAAGAUAUGUAGAUAUGUUGUCUUGUUGCCAACAUGAGUAGAUAGCACAAGAGGCAGAGUAAAACAAAGAGAUAUCCAAUACAAUUGGUGCAUACAGUCUCUUAAUUAUGUAGUGGAAAAAACAGUAUGUCAAAUACCACAUAUUCAGUGAUGAGUUAAGAUCAGAGAAAGAAAACCACAAAGACAAUGAUAAAAACAAGUGUUGGAGACAGGUUUAAAUUACUUGGAUCUUCCAGCUUGUAAAAGAAAAGGUUGUAAAGUAGAGAAAGAAGGUGGGUGGGUUUGUAAAAGAAAAAUCAUUCUUUAAUAGGAAAAGUUUUUAACCUGUUUUGUAUAAGAUAAAAGGAGGAGGAGGAGUAUGACUAGCUAAUAAUCGCCAAUGAGGAUAGAAAAAGAAAGUAAGGCUUAAACUUCAGUGGAAGCUAUUUGAGAUACUAUGUUGGAAUAGAUGACAGAGUGUAGGAAUACAGUAUGCACCAUGCAAAGUUCUAAGUACUACAUCAUUUCAGACUCCCAUUCUCUUGCUAUGUUACAGGUAUCCAAUAGAAGUUAAAACAGUCAUGCUGAUUACCAUAUGAUUGACCAUAGAACUAACCAACUCACUCUGGGCUUUCAAGAGUAGGAAAGAAAUGGAAGUCUAGAUUGGUAUUAUCAUAAAAUGAAUGCUACCAACUUGCUGUGUUAAUUUCAGGUUAGUCUCUUGCUUCUUGAUAUUUGAUUUCUUCUCAAAAAUACCAGACUUCAAAUAACGGCAAUACUUUAUACCUCACAGAUAAAAUGGUUUAUGAUUGUUUCUGGUUUCAGUGGUCCUCUUGCCUACCAGGCAACUGUGAAAUGAUAAAUUAAGCUGAAGUCACUGUAGGAAAAGUGGUGUUACUUUAAGGUUUUUGUCAUCCUAGCCUUAAAAAGAAGCAGAAAAUCUCAUCUUUACUACAGCCCCUGAAAAUUUCCCCCAUCUAAUCUCCUUUCCUCAACUGUGCUAUGGAGUCAUUAGCCAACAAUCCCCAUUAGGGGCCAUAUUUUCUCCCAUGCAUCUAAAACUAAAACAGCUCAUGAAUCAUAACACCUGCACAUACUGAGAAUCCACAUCGCCGCAAUUAUCUAGGAAAGGGAACACAUGAUAGGUCUAGACAGGACAGAAAUUAAUCCCCCCCCCAAAUCUUUUACACAUUCCAAUAGUCGAAUAUGCCAGCAAAUACAAGGACUCUUUUUUUUUUUUUUAAUCUCCCUUACACUGGCCAGAUUCUCAUUUUGGCUACUUAAGAGAGAGGUACAUAUUAAUUACCUCCUUACAUAAACAGACUAUACAAUUAUAAUUUUUCUGUUUCCGCUUUUGUCACAUUCCA